rnacentral:misc_RNA from 1 species
CAGACCUAGGGGGUCUCUGUCCAGAAAAUCUGCCCCUACCAAAUCUUCCACCUCAACCCCUGCUGGGUCCACUAAAUUUAUUCUUUUUCCUAGAAGUACCACCAGAACUCUGUUUAACUGAUUUUUCCCCUUUGUCUUUCUCUGAUCUUUUAACUUUUUCUGAUUUUUCUUUUAUUAGGGUCGCUUCUGAUUCAAUCCUUUCUAACUCGAGUGCUUGAGACAUGAGUUCUGAAAAGUUGCUGUGUCUGAAUCCUACUACUUGCAUUCUCAAAUUGGGCUUCAAACCAGUCUCAAAUCUCUUGCAUCUUGCC